AUUGAACGCUGGCGGCAGGCCUAACACAUGCAAGUCGAACGAGUGGCGGACGGGUGAGUAAUGUCUGGGAAACUGCCUGAUGGAGGGGGAUAACUACUGGAAACGGUAGCUAAUACCGCAUACCAUCAGAUGUGCCCAGAUGGGAUUAGCUUGUUGGUGGGGUAACGGCUCACCAAGGCGACGAUCCCUAGCUGGUCUGAGAGGAUGACCAGCCACAGUGGAACUGAGACACGGUCCAGACUCCGACGGGAGGAAGCAGUGGGGAAUAUUGAACAAUGGGCGCAAGCCUGAUGAAGCCAUGCCGCGUGUAUGAAGAAGGCCUUGGGGUUGUAAAGGACUUUCAGCGGGGAGGCGUUACCCGCAGAAGAAGCACCGGCUAACUCCGUGCCAGAAGCCGCGGUAAUAC
rnacentral:rRNA from 1 species